GGGAGUCGCAUAACUAGUUAGCAUGCCAGAGUCUCAUUCGUUAUCGGAAUUAACCAGACAAAUCGCUCCACCAACUAAGAACGGCCAUGCACCACCACCCAUGGAAUCGAGAAAGAGCUAUCAAUCUGUCAAUCCUGUCAGUGUCCGGGCCGGGUGAGGUUUCCCGUGUGUCAAAUUAAGCCCCAGGCUCCACUCCUGUUGGUGCCCUUCCGUCAAUUCCAUUAAGUUUCAGCUUUGCAACCAUACUCCCCCCGGAACCCAAAGAUUUUGGUUUCCCAGAAGCUGCCCGGCGGGUCAUGGGAAUAACGCCGCCGCAUCGCCAGUCGGCAUCGUUUAUGGUCGGAACUACGACGGUACCUGAUCGUCUUCGAACCUCUGACUUUCGUUCUUGAUUAAUGAAAACAUUCUUGGCAAAUGCUUUUGAGAUCUGAAGAGCACA